CGCAGCGAGAGAAACACAUGCUAGCCAGUGAGGAAUGAGAAGUAAACUCUUGUCGGUUAUUGCACAUAAGUUAGUUUCAACCAUUUAAACGUAUUCGGAAGGGAGACCAGAGGUGACUGGGCCGACCCGAAGCCUGUCGAUGUGGGUUUACUGUGACUGGACUGUCUCGAUGAAACGGAGGAUAUCUGCACAUUGGAAACACAUUCAGCAGAGCAGAGCUCGGUGAGAUGACACGAUGGACGAGGAAAAGAGUCCACAGGAAACUAUUCCUUGCACAUAUGAUGGUCCCGCUUAUUCCAUGGAAAACCCUCCUGUGCCGUCCACCUCCUCACAGCCCCUCCCUCCACAGGUGACAGAAAGUUGAUGACGCCACCACAGAGGGAUGUGAACUAACCACAGAGGGACCACGAAGAGACAUCGAACCACCGGACGGGUAAACAGCACCGACACAACCGACUGAAAUCAGACAGAACAAACACAAACAGAAGCAAACUACAUUCUGAGCCACGCUGAGAGGAGAGAGAGCGGGAGGCGUCCAUCCAUCUGUCUCUCCAAUCAGCAGCAGGGGGCGCUGGAACCAGCUGAACUCCCGUGACCUCUGCCUCUUCUUCUACUGCUCUCCAUCUCUCUCUCCAUCUUCCACAUCCUGGCUCCUGCACGGAGCUGCACCGUAACGUAAACAUCACAGAUAUUUUACUUCAUCAGUUUGGUAGAUCUCACUCAGACUUUCCACCGCAAAACAUUUUCCUCUUCAUGCUUCAGAGUUGUUCAGACGACUGAGGAAGAAAAAGUCCCAGCAGAACGCUGACGUCCCAUUGGCAGUUUAACUGAGUGGUACCUGUUCACCUGGGAUCUACAUUCAUCACUGGUUAUACUGGUUAGUCGUGUUACUGUUCUGUAAUGAAUCCUUACA